GACGAACGCUGGCGGCGUGCCUAAAACAUGCAAGUCGAACGGUGUAGCAAUACACAGUGGCGAACGGCGGAGUAAUACAUGAACAACGUGCCCGGAAGACUGGGAUAGUCAGGGGAAACCCUGGGUAAUACCGGAUGUGGCCGAUCUUUGGCAUCUUAGAUCGAUUAAAAUGGUUUUUUCGUCUUCCGGAGCGGUUCGAUGGCC
rnacentral:rRNA from 1 species